rnacentral:tRNA from 1 species
AUUUAUCUAAUAUAAUAAGUAUAUUUGACUUCCAAUCAAAAAGUUUGAUUAACAAGAUAAAUA